rnacentral:lncRNA from 1 species
AUGACAGAGGAGAACCACCCACUAAAGCUAGAGGAAAGAAGGGGUUAUGCAUUAAGGGAAAGCCACUACAUUAAACAUUGGUGCUAUCUAAAAAUUAUGUUAAGAAUUUGGAACCUGCUACACCUGCGUGUGCUGCAGUCAUGCCUGUUGCCACUGAGCAAGACGGAAGGAGCUUCCUCACUGGAUGCAGUGUGCUCAAGUGUGUGCUGUUGCCUGGAAGAAGAGCAAAGACUUCUGAAAAAUCAGCUGUGGCGAGGCAGGUACUCAUCUGGGGACACUGACUCUUUGGUGACAUCUCCAAGCAGAGCAUUGUUGGGCUGUGCAGCCGGGGUCACAGCUCUAAGUGCUGCAGGGAGGGUGACUGUGCCUGUAAUGUCUCCAUCAGCCAUCUCUCCUGACGGAGGGGUUCAGCAGUGGGAGUUUGAGGUACAUCCCCAGCUCUCAGGUCAGCAGUGACGGUGUGGCAGACCCACCAAGCUGGAUUUCAGCUGGAAGAGGAGAAGGAGUUGACUGCGAAUGUCCCUGGGUAAAUGAGAGCUGUCAGAGAUUUGCAGUAGAUGUGGAUCGUAUCAGUGUGGCCGUUGCAGCUGCAGCAAAAGUGGAUCAUGGAGCAUCUGGAGAAGAUAAAGGGAUUUUUCUUCAUGGAAGCGACGCUGUCAAAAACCUUUUGAUGCCAGAAGUGAGGAGACACACAUCUGUUGUCUGGAACUUUUCAUUAUACAUGACACACUCCCUGCAACAUUUAAGAAGUGUGUCAGGCAGGACAGGGACUCUCCUUGGCUCUUCCACAUUGCAGCAACGCUUCCUGAUCACACACCCUGCACGCUGGGCCAGGACCUAAAUGGGAUGGUGCUGUUGGUAACCUGAGGCUUGGGAAGCCCUUCUGCAUUUUUCUACUGUUCCACAUGAAUUUUUGCCCCAUGAAGGUGAUGUAUUGAGCUAUUUCUUUUCACCAGAUAGGCUUGGAGACAGCCUAAUGUUUCCAAGAUUGGGUGUUCCUCUUCUUGUCUUUGCCUGCUGAGCAGGUGUUGGUAGGAGAAAGGACAUGAAUCUUACCCAUGGGACUCUUAACCACGUGCUGCAGUGAAAGAACUCGGAUAUCAAUGCACUUCAACUUUAUAAUAGAUCUGUUUAUCUGUUAUUUAUUACUGAAGACACUUUUUUUCCAGGCCAACUUAUUAGAAGUUCAUACAGAUUGUGAGGCAGUCAGUUUCCAUCUGUAGGAUGGGACUGUACACCACUGUUGGAGAACUGUUUUUUUGUGGCUUUGGAGAAAGCGCAACACAAAAAUACGCAUUUAACUGUUGACGUGUGGACCUUUAACCAUGGCACC